rnacentral:lncRNA from 1 species
UAUAUUUUGCUAGUACUCUAUAAUAUAUUACAAUAAUAUCUAUUAUACAACCAAAAAUAAUUUAUUUUAUUAGCUCAAAUAAUGAAGUACACUUAUACGAUUCCAAAAAUCUUCCCUGGAUCAUUCCUGUAUCUUCCAUAUCUUGAUUUAAAAUCAAGAUUCCGUGCAUAAAAUCAUUUUAUACAUAACCUACACACAUACUCUAUCUAUCACAACCCAAAUUCACAAUCAAAAAGACUUCAGAGAUGCAAGACACACUCAAAGAUUUCGUAGAUAACAAUACAUACGAAACCAUAUAAGAUUAUAACGAUUGACUUCAAAAUGAUAACAACUGCCUCAUCAUUCUUCAUCUCGUUUCUUCUUCUUCCUUUUGAUUUAAAUUAACAGCAGCCUCCAAGUUCUUCUUCAUCCCCUGUCAAACGACCCAACCCAAACAACCAUCGAUUUCUGUCAAAAAUAAAACCCAAAUCACCCCUCAAUGGCUCAUGUUGAUAUUCACCACCCCUACAGCCCCUUUCCCAUGAACAGAUAAACAAAAUCCCAAAAGAAACAUUUUUUUUACCUGUGGUUGAUCGAGACUGCCAAAACAAGGGGGAAACAUCGGGAUUGUCGAGCAAACACCACCGAGGCCCUGACCAGCGACGUAUGGCUGCCAACCGGACUUCCAUCGGACAUCUUUUGCCUCUCGUACCUCACCCACGCAUCUCCCCUUUGCACACCGCUGCUGGAAUCGAAGCAAGCAGUCGAGAAGCUGCUUGAACAGCAGCCUCGCUGCCUCCCUCUUUCUUCCCCUUCGGACUCGUCGACCCGGAGACUCCUCCCUCUUCGCGAAUCAACCGACGAAGCGCGCCUCCGAGAUUUCGUCUACCUUCGUUCACUGCUUCCGUUCAUCUGCCUUCGCAGCCUUCGUUUAAUUCUUUCCCCUUAACCCGAUCGGUAUCCUUUUUCCUUCCGUCCCCUUCGCGAUUGCACCCCCGAAACCAACGGCAGCCCCGCUGCCUUCUUGUUCGUUUUCCCCUCUCUUCGUUCGUUUGAUUUCAGUCGUUCAUUCCCGUUCCAAUCGCCUUUGCUUCGUUCAUAUUUCCUCCCCGAUCGAUCAAAUGAACGAAUACAUAAAAAGCCCUAAUUUAUAGGGGUGUUCGUUUGGAUGGAUCGGUUUGAUCCGAUCCAAUCAAG